GGGUGCGAUCAUACCAGCACUAAUGCACCGGAUCCCAUCAAAACUCUGCAGCUAAGCGUGCUUGGACAAGAUUAGUACUAAGUUGGGUGAUCACUUGGGAAGUCCUCGUGUUGCAUCCC
rfam:Cucumis sativus cultivar 9930 chromosome 2, whole genome shotgun sequence.